rnacentral:rRNA from 1 species
GAUGAACGCUGGCGGCGUGCUUAACACAUGCAAGUCGAACGGAAAGGCCCAAGCUUGCUUGGGUACUCGAGUGGCGAACGGGUGAGUAACACGUGGGUGAUCUGCCCUGCACUUCGGGAUAAGCCUGGGAAACUGGGUCUAAUACUUGAUAGGACCACUUCUUGGAUGUUGUGGUGGAAAGUUUUUUCGGUGUGGGCUGAGCUCGCGGCCUAUCAGCUUGUUGGUGGGUAAUGGCCUACCAAGGGGUCGACGGGUAGACGGCCUGGAGGGGUGUACGGCCACAUUGGGACUGAGAUACGGCCCAGACUCCUACGGGAGGAAGCAGUGGGGAAUAUUGCACAAGGGGCGCAAGCCUGAUGCAGCGACGCCGCGUGGGGGAUGACGGCCUUCGGGUUGUAAACUCCUUUCGCUAGGGACGAAGCGUUUUGUGACGGUACCUGGAGAAGAAGCACCGGCUAACUACGUG